rfam:Pan troglodytes isolate Yerkes chimp pedigree #C0471 (Clint) chromosome 4, whole genome shotgun sequence.
GGGACGUUCUGGGCUCAGAGGGGGUGGGGGACGUUUGCCGGUCACUGCUGCUGGCGCCCUGACUGUUGCCGUCCUCCAGCCCCACUCAAAGGCAUCCC